rnacentral:misc_RNA from 1 species
GAUGAAGAACGCAGCGAAAUGCGAUAAGUAAUGCGAAUUGCAGAAUUCAGUGAAUCAUCGAAUCUUUGAACGCACAUUGCGCCCGCCAGUAUUCUGGCGGGCAUGCCUGUCUGAGCGUCGUUUCGACCCUCGCGCCCGGCUUCUGUCGGGGGCGGUGUUGGGGAUCGGCCACACCCUUCAGUGGGAGGCCGGCCCCUAAAUUCAGUGGCGACCACGCUGUAGCCUCCCCUGCGUAGUACUAAAACCACCUCGCAGGCGGAGAGCGGUGCGGCCCGCCGUAAAACCCCCCAACUUUUACAAGGUCGACCUCAGAUCAGGUAGGAAUACCCGCUGAACUUAAGCAUAUCAAUAAGCGGAGAA